rnacentral:rRNA from 1 species
CCUACGGGGGGCAGCAGUGGGGAAUAUUGGACAAUGGGGGGAACCCUGAUCCAGCCAUGCCGCGUGUGUGAAGAAGGCCCUCGGGUUGUAAAGCACUUUCAGUGAGGAAGAACGCCUGGUGGUUAAUACCCAUCAGGAAAGACAUCACUCACAGAAGAAGCACCGGCUAACUCCGUGCCAGCAGCCGCGGUAAUACGGAGGGUGCGAGCGUUAAUCGGAAUUACUGGGCGUAAAGCGCGCGUAGGUGGCUUGAUAAGCCGGUUGGGCAAGCCCCGGGCUCAACCUGGGAACGGCAUCCGGAACUGUCAAGCUAGAGUGCAGGAGAGGAAGGUAGAAUUCCCGGUGUAGCGGUGAAAUGCGUAGAGAUCGGGAGGAAUACCAGUGGCGAAGGCGGCCUUCUGGACUGACACUGACACUGAGGUGCGAAAGCGUGGGUAGCAAACAGGAUUAGCUACCCCGGUAGUC